CUAGGGAGGAAGCCCAGGCUACGGCGGACCCAGCUGACCAAAGGGAACUACAGAAGAGGAUGAAGAAAGCGAGGGGGAAAGGGCGAGGGUUAUUAACUGAGUUGGCGGAACAAGGUAGUGGCUCCAAACUUCACGGCUCAUUAGAGCUUGAAAAAAAUCAGACACCGGGCCGCACAGAAGUAAUUAAACCAAUCCCUCUGGCGGCGGGGCCCAGGCGCCAGUUUUUUUGUUUUUUAAUUUCCCAGUUGAAUCCAAUGGGAAUCCAAGUUUGAGGGCUGGAAGACCAGAGAGGCAGCAACGGACGGGGAGGAGGCGCGCCAGCCCAGGACCGAGGCACAUGCGGGCCGGCAAUACCGAAGGCUCCGCCUCUUCCUGUGGCUCAGAGGAGCCGCGGAACCCCCAACACGCGGCUCAGGCAGAGACACCCACUCUUUCGGCGCUAGGGGCGGCUGGAAGGGACGAGAGGUUGGCCUGGGAAGAGGGAGGCGGCUCCAGCACCGCAUUACCUGAUCAGGGCCGCGACCCUCAUGCUGAGCGCAGUGCGCGUGCGUGCGGCGGGCGCGUGCGGGGGCGGGAGCCAGGAGGUCGCCGCCGCAGCUCCCGUGACGCACCGCGGGGCCUCGCCCGGGUGUUCGCUCCGCCGCCUGUCCGCGGAUCGGUGCUGCGAGCCCCGCGGCUGCCUGCAGGACACCUGAGCGCGGAGGGUGCGGCACGUUGGCACCUUGACCCUGUGACAGGAACACCUCGGCCCAGAAAAGAAUGAUGUUUAGGCACGGCCUAACCACCUAAGUGAGGGCACUGAAGCUGCCGGGGGAAGGGCAAGCUCCGUGUUGCAGAGCCCAAGCCCGGGGGCGCUGGAUUUGUUUUGGUCCUUAACAGAUUGGAUGAAAUUGGUGAAGGUAGAUCUUCCUUACUUAAUCUGCUGAUUCAAGUGCCAGUCUCUUCUGGAAACACCUCCACAACAUAUCCAGAGAUUUUACUUUAGCAGCUAUGUCUCAGUUUGCUUCAUCUGUGGAAUGGAGAUGGUUUCCUGUGUGAGCAUGAAAAUUUCUCCCAGCUCUGAAGACCUUUGAUUUCGUAAGAAUCAUUGUGAAGGUGUGGGCUUGGCAAAUGGAUGGAAAGAUGAGCAAUGGGAGAGGAAAGAAUUGAAGAGGACUGUGAGGUUUGAAGAAUGGGUAACUAGCAUCAUUCACAGAAAUGAGAGGGACAAGGGGUGAGAAUAAUCGGGAAUCAGUGGGUGAAGAAAGACUGGUUUGGAUCUGUUGCAAUGGAGAGGCCAAUGACAUUUCUUUGUGAUGUCUAACUGGUCCGUGGACAGAGAAAAAGGUGAAACUUUGUUUACUUGUCUGUAAAAUAGGAAUGAGGUGAUAUAUAGAGAUGUGGGGAUCGCUUACAUAGAGAUAGCAGGUGAAACCAUGGAAGUGACAAAAACUCUCGGUAAGGAAAGGGAGGAUAAAAAAUGCAGUUAAGGGAGAUAACAUUUGUUGUGAAGCUACUACGUGCUAUGCACAUUAUCUAUUUUAUCUCAUUUAAACCUCACAAAAAUCUUGUGGACUAUGGGUAAUUCCCUCCAUUUUAUGUGUUAGAAAAAAAAUGAUGCUCAGCAAGGUCCCAGAUUGCAUAAGAAUUAACAUAUUGCUCAGAUUUGAACCAGUCUCUCUGACUCCAAAAUCUACAUGGCGCUGGUCCAAUGUGAAACAUUGACAAUGAGAAGGGAUGAGGACACAGCCUAGGAGUUCUCAGAAGGGUGGAAGAAGAACCCUUGAAAUUUUGAUAGUGCGAGGUCAGUUCAGCCAAAGCUGGACAGAGGGGAAGGAGGGAAAAUCAUAUUCAAAAUUGCAGAGAACUCAAGGGGAAUAAGAACUAUAAAAAAAUUGGGUCAGUGGGGGGAUUGAAGGAGGCCAAUUAUGCCACCUCAGAGGUUUCUAAUAUAUUGAUUGGGGUGAACCUGAGAAGGAAGGGUGCAGAUUAUGAAAAUGGUAAUUAUAAUACUAAAUAUAUACUGAGCACUUAAUAUAUGCCAGACACUUUUCUAAGUGACUGAUAUGUAUUAACUUUUAAUCCCAACAACAACUGGCUUAUUGAAUGGUUUAGGCUCAGUAGGGUUCAAGGCAGGAAACAGUUUUAUCCUCUCCUGAUACAGCUUUUCAGUCACAUCCCAUCAUUUCUCCAUGACUACUUCUGGAUGAUAUGUUGGGCAAAUCUCCUAACUUUUUUGGAUCCUUUUCAGGUACUGUAUUAGAAACUAACAUCCAUACAUUAAUAUAAUGGAUGCCAUUUUGUAGCAAAAAAUGAUGUUCUUUAUAUAGUGACAUAAAAUACUAAAGGGGAAAAAGAGCAGGAGAGUGAAUACCAUAAACUACAUGUAAUAAAAAAGAAAGCAUAUAUAUUCAUAUUUAAUUAUGUAUGCACUAAAUAUCACUUGGAAUAUCACCAAGGAAGAAAUACAAAUAUUUGCUGAUGGGAAGAAGUUAUUGGCUGGAAUAACUGUAGAGGGAGGGAAACUUUUCACUGAAUAUCUUUUUAGUCUCCUUGACUUUUAAUCUAUGUGAAUGUAUUACUAUUGAUCUCAGUCGGCUAUUGCUACAAUAAUGAUGUACAACAACCAUCCUCAAACUCAGGCAAUAUGCUUUGUUUCUCAUGCUCAUGGGCAAGUGGUUCGGCUGAGUGGCUCUGCAUCAGGCUGCAGUUGUUCAGGUUGCCUGUAGUAGUUUGCAAGGGACUGAAUAUUUGUGUCACCCCCUCCACUACUCAGAUGUUGAAAGCCUAACCUUCAAUGUGGUGCUAUUAAGAGGUGAGGCCUUUGGGAGGCAAUUAAGUCAUGAAGGUGGCGCCUUCAUGAAUGAGUAAAGGGGACCCUAAAGAGCUCACCCUCUUUUGCCCAUGUGAGGAUACAAUGAGAAGAUGACAGUUUGCCACCUGGAAGAGGACCCUGAUUAUAAGGGCACCCUGAUCCCAGAUUUCAAGCCUCUAGAAAAGCGAGAACUAAAUUUCCAUUGUUUAUAAACCACCCAGUCUAAGCUAUUUUGUUAUUGCAGGCCAAACUAACUAAGAUAUAGCUCUACUCCAUUUGUCUCAUUAUGAGGUCCCAGCUGGAGGGGCAGUCUUUCUGGGGCAUGUUCUUCUCUUAGUGAAGUCAGGAAUUUCCAGAGGGUGACAGAAAACACUCAUGCUUUCAACUGCAGGCCUGGGCUUGGAAUGUUCACAUACUCACUUCCAACCCAAUGCUUAAAUAAGCAAGGCAGCAUACUCCUCCAGAGUUAAAGGGGCGUGAGUCACUGCUGAACAAUGGUCUACCUGCCUCUUUAAAAAGUAUUUUAAGUCCACUUGAGCCUAAGAUCAAAAUUGUAAUCUCUCAUCCAAUCUCAGACUUCUCCCUUCCCCACUGUGGCUCAGCAGAUCAGGCUUGACCCAUAUUUAGAAAUUUAUGGUAGGCGUCGGGGGUGGUGGUUCAUGCCUGUAAUCCCAGCACUUUGGGAAGCUGAAGUAGGUGGCUCACCUGAG